rnacentral:lncRNA from 1 species
CAAUUUGAUUUUUUUGUUUUGUUUUUUGAAACAGGGUCUUUCUAUCUAGUUCAGGCUACCUUGAACUCGCUAUGUAGCCCAGGCUGGCUUUGAACUCACAGCAGUCCUCCUGCCUCGGCCUCCCAAGUGCUGGGAUUGCAGGGUUUCCCUAUAUUUGGCAUGGCUGGCUUUGGAUCCCUGGGUUUGAGUGACCCCUGCCUCAGCCACUUGAAGAGUUGGACUUGCAGGUGUGCACCUCUGCCUUUUCUUCGUGGUCACAGCGAGGAGGACGAGGCACUCAGCUGCUUGGGUGUCUUCAGGGGUCAGGCAGCUGCACAGAGCCACCCACUCAAGGUUGUGACCCCUGCUGGCGUCCCUGGCCGGGGACACGUUAGUGUGGGGUCAGCCCUGCCCAAGUCAGGAGGAGGCUGCCUGUGGGAUUGCAGGACAGUUGCUGGGUCUGUUGGGGUUUCCUUCUCCUUGUGUAUGGUCUCCUUCCUGGCCUCCUUCUGCCGCUGUUGGUGCCAGGCCAAGUCCCUCACAACUGUCCUAACCCUGCCACAUGGCAUCUGGGUCCUGAAGGUGCCACCUCACCACAGAGACCAGUCCGUUUGCACCUUUGCCCACUUGCUGGUGUCGGAAAGGCUCUUGCUUGAGUCUGUGCCUCUUUGGUAGCUGACAGGCCUGAGCGCGGUUUUGCAGUGGACACAUGUGGCUUCCUUGUGGCCUGCCUUUGCGGAUGACCUCCUUUGCCUACCUUUCCAGAGCUGUCUUCGUCUUCCUGUUGUUGAGGGCCUAAGGACAGAAGCCUGAAGGCCGGAUGACCUAGCAGAGGCAGGUGCAGCCGAUGCACUGAGCCUGUCCCAGCCUGCUGCCUGGUCCCCGAACUGGACACUUCUGAGGGGCACAAAAAGUGGCUCCAGACUCUCUGGUGCUAAAUAUAAAAUGAAAAGAUACAUCACCCGAUGAAACCAGCCAGGAGCCUCCCAGGCAGAGCAGAGGAGCCAAGGAGGAGGCCCAGGAAAAGCCACAGAGCCGCCUGUGAAGAGAUGGAAGGCUUUCCACCCACAUCUGCGCCGCUGGGUGCACCGGGACCACUCUGAGCCUCAAUCUUCCCUGUGCAGAAGUGGUGUGGACCGUUUCCCUCUGAGGAGAACUCUCUUUGUCACCUGUGUUAGCCCGACCCACUGGUGACAGCCGUCUCGGUUCUCUCCAUCUGAAGGUGUUCUCACCAGCCGUGGCUGACCUGAAGGCUCUGAACGGCAGCCAAACACCUCUACUCCAUGUGACCCACAUUUCCUCCAUCCCUGCCGUACUACGGACAUUCCACAGCCCGUUUCACCUGUGUCUGCUCCCCAAGUUUGUCACGGGUGACUCCCUUAGUGAUCGUGAUGCCGUGACAUGUCAUGGUGACAACGGUCUCACCCAUGCCCG